rnacentral:rRNA from 1 species
AUUGAACGCUGGCGGCAGGCUUAACACAUGCAAGUCGAGCGAGCGGCGGACGGGUGAGUAAUGUCUGGGAAACUGCCUGAUGGAGGGGGAUAACUACUGGAAACGGUAGCUAAUACCGCAUACCAUCAGAUGUGCCCAGAUGGGAUUAGCUAGUAGGUGGGGUAAUGGCUCACCUAGGCGACGAUCCCUAGCUGGUCUGCGAGGAUGUUCAGCCACUCUGGGAAUUAUACACGGCCCAUACUCCUACGGGAGGCAGAAGUGGGUAAUAUUGCACAAGGGGCGCAAGCCUGAUGCAGCCAUGCCGCUUGUAUGAAGAAGGCCUUAGGGUUGUAAAGUACUUUCAGCGGGGAGGCGUUACCCGCAGAAGAAGCACCGGCUAACUCCGUGCCAGCAGCCGCGGUAAUAC